CGCAGCCGCGGUAAUUCCAGCUCCAAUAGCGUAUAUUAAAGUUGUUGCAGUUAAAAAGCUCGUAGUUGAAUUUCGGGAUCAAUAUAUCGGUCGUGCCCCUGUACGUACUGGUAUCAUUGAUUUCUCCUUUCUGACGAACAAUGAUGUCAUUAAUUUGGUGUUAUAGGGAGUUAGGACUGUUACUUUGAAAAAAUUGAGUGUUUAAAGCAGGCAUUAGCUUGAAUACAUUAGCAUGGAAUAAUGAAAUAGGACGUUUGACCUUAUUUUGUUGGUUUCUAGGAUCGACGUAAUGAUUAAUAGGGAUAGUUGGGGGCAUUAGUAUUCAAUUGUCAGAGGUGAAAUUCUUGGAUUUAUUGAAGACUAACUACUGCGAAAGCAUUUGCCAAGGAUGUUUUCAUUAAUCAAGAACGAAAGUUAGGGGAUCGAAGCGAUCAGAUACCGUCGUAGUCUUAACCAUAAAACUAUGACCGACUAGGGAUUGGGAUGAUGUUAAUUUUUAUAAUGUACUUUAGUUCGGUUG
rnacentral:rRNA from 1 species